CUUUCAAAAAUGCAAUAACUAAAUGAGAACUGAUAUCUUUUAAAAUGACCCUUUAUAGUUCGUGAUUUGAAAUAUUUAUCCCUUAUGGUGGAGAAUUCAAC